AACACAAAACUUUUUAUGGUGGAAAAUUUCUAGCACUUACAAAAAGUGACAGACUGGCAUAAUGGACGUCCACAUAGCCAUCACCCAGUUCCAGCAGUUACCAACAUAUGGCUAAUCUUACCCACUUGCUGUCCUUCUGUAUGCAUUACUUUGAAGCAUACCCAAGCCUUCAAACAACUUCAUCUCUGCUGCCUUGACGGUUCUGACUUCCCUACAGUCUCCCCCAGGCCACCACUGUAAGGGCGGGAGCAUGCACACAUCCAGCAGCCAGCGUGAGGCCAUGGGCCUGCCCCCUACCAGAGAGCAGACCCGGCCUCCUUGGUGAUCACAGAAAGAAGCCUGCACUAAGGCCUGCCUCUUGGCCUUUGCCUGUCAUCCUCCAAAAGGAACCUGGAUGGGUCUGGCAGAGGGAGAGACUGAAAGUCCUAGGAAGGACUUCAUGAAGCCAAAUGUAGGAGAGGAAGAGGCUGAAUGCUUUGCAAGCGAAGUCCAUUCCAGAUGGUAGAUAUGAGAAAUUCUCUUUCUGGAUGGGUCACAUGUGGAUCAGAGCCCUGGAACUGCUAUCUGCUACCAUGCGGGGCAAAAACAGCUGAAAACAAAUUCAACACAAUAACAAGACAGGGCUUGAAAAAUAUCACGGGAACAAGCAAAGAGCCAUGAUCAAACCAUACCUAAAAUUAAUUCUAUGGCUAGACUUUUCAGUUGUGUCAAAAUUCCCUUCUUUUUAUUCUAUUCGUUAAUUUGACUUGAAUUUACUAUUACAAUAAAUAAAUCCCAAAUCACAGAGCAGAUAACAUUUACUGAAUGCUUCCUAAACUCUAGGCAUUAUGCUAAAUAUCUCACAAGUCAAUUAAUUCUCUUUUCAACUUCUGUGAUUAGUACCAUUAUAUCUCCCAUUUUAUAAAUCUUGAAACCGAAGUAGUAAGAUUAAGUAACUUACCCGUGAUCAUACACAGGCAGAAACAGGCCUUCCUCAUACUCCUAUUUAACUUGAUGCUUAAGGUAUUAGGCACUUUAUUUUAUUCUCUUUGUUUUAUACAAUCUAAGUCACUACUUUCUUGCUUAAUAUUUGAAAGGCAUUAAAGAAAAUGGUGUUCCUUUGCUUACAAGUAUCUAUGUUGGCAAUUAAGAAA